rnacentral:misc_RNA from 1 species
GAGAGGGCACAUGCCAAACAGUUGAAAACUUGAACGUGUGAACAUGACAACAUGUGUACUAUGAAUUGUCUACGACGAAAUUAAUGAUGAGGGUUGUAGAAGAAAACGGUCUAAAAUUCCGGGUCAGUGAAGAUCACCAAACUCCAGAAAAGUCAGAUGUUUUUUUCAAUCCAAAAAUAAGAAUAAAUAGAGAACUGGUACUUUGUGGUUUGUCUGUGUACCUUGAUGAACAUAAAGAGUAUGCCCCAAAACCUGCUCGAUGUUUAGAUGCUUUUGCCGCCUCAGGUGCUCUUGGUUUGCAAUGGCAAAAACAUCUAAACCACCAGAAGCAUAUAACAUUGAAUGACAACAAACCUGCUGCUGUAGAAAACAUGCAUUUCAACUGCCAGGAGAAUGGCAUCCAUGUUUAUACAUCUGACAAAUUCUCUAGAAAACCAAGCAAGGAUGAUGAAAAUCUUUCGGAAACACCUAAGGAACCAAGGAGGGAAGAUGAAAAUCUUACGAGAGGAAGUGAUGGAGUUGAGAUUGUUUGUCAGGAUUCAAACAUCCUCCUUUUGCAAAGAGCAUUUGAUUUUAUUCACUUGGAUCCAUUCGGCACAGCUGUACAUUAUCUGGAAUCUGCUUUCCGCAAUACACCCAACAAGGGUGUUGUGUCUAUUACAUCAACUGAUCUGGCUUCUGUAUACGGGAGGUGUCCAAGAAUGACCAAGCGUCACUAUUCGGCCAACGUGAUCAGAAGCGAGUAUUACCGUGAGUUGGCUGCGAGGCUUAUAUUGGGAGCUGUAGCCAAAGCUGCAGCAAGAUGCAAUAAAGGAAUAGAAGUGUUAGUAUCUGUGGCAUAUGAACAUUUCAUUUUGGUUAUGGUGCGUGUGGUACGUGGACCUCAGCAUGCUGAUUUGAGUGUUGAAAAGGUCCAGCAGGUCAUCCAUUGCUUAAUUUGUGGAGACCGCUGCUUUCUUCAGGGAAACCAUACUGUAGAAAGUGACUAUUACGGAAAGUUAAAAUGCAAUUGCAAGCAAACUUCACCUGGUAAAACUGCUGUGUUCCUUGGACCUGUCUGGUCUGGAAGUAUUUUCAAAGCUGGCUUCAUAAAGAAAAUGCUGCACUGUGCUGAACGAUUAAAGCUAAGCCCUAAAAUAAUAGAGCUUUUAAAAACAUUACAUAGUGAAGCUGUAUGCAGUGAUAUUGUAGACUAUGAGAUGCACAAACACAAUUCAUUAUCUGAGACACAUAUUCAAAAAGUUUCUUCUACUUUAAAAUCUGCACCUGCUGAUGUCUCAGUAAAUCCAUCCACAGCGAAUGAAUUUGGAAAAUCUCGGCAAUGCACACAUCAAGAUGAUUCAAAUUGUAGCAAAGUGUUGACCUCUAAGAGAACCUGCGUGGACGUAAGUGCCCCAGCAAAGAGGGUUUGUAAAGACGACAGUCAUGAAACGCAAGUUCCUUUCCCCAGCUUCUACUUUAACGUCCAUUUACACACAGCCAAAGGGAAAGAUGCACUAAAAAUGAAGAAAGUUAUCCAGCUUCUAAAACAGAAUGGCUUCCAAGCAAGUAGGACGCACUUUGACCCUGUUGCUGUGAGAACAAAUGCUAGUUUACAGGAAUUUCUUAAGAUUCUCACAAGUAAUAGCUUACCCACGAGUACUAUUGACAAUGUGUAACGCAAUUGUAACAACAGGUGGCUUUUUAAAUCGUGUGGAUCUGCCAAAAGGAAUCUCAAGUAAAGAGUGACAAGGAGGGAGCAUGUUUCGAAAUAAAUCGGAGAAACAGCCUGCAUCGCUUACCACUACUAACUUUUGAUAAAAAUGCACCAUUUUCUCUGUGCUGUUGUAUGCUGUGUGCAUAAUUAUACUUGUGUAAAGAGGUUUUUUGUUUAUGCUGAAAUCCUGGAGGGCAGAUAGAAAUCACUCAUGUAACGAAUCAGGGCAACAGUCCAUCAAUUUUAUCAUUGGCUUUGAAUAUACGACUUCAAGUUGGCGGGUGGGUGCAUGCAAUCUUAGUAUCCUGUUGGUAUCUUAUGUUGCAUGACACCGAAGGCACACUACUGGUAUUCUAUUGUACUAUGUUGAAUGUUCAUAAUUUCUAUAACAUCAGUAAAAUCUUGUAAUAUAAUAAUUUAUUGUAAAUAAAAUUUAAUAAAUGUUAUUAAUUGUUAAAAUUUUUCUGUAUAAUUAAAUUUUUGUUAGAUUCCAUUUGUAUACAGAAACUCAUUAAGUGGGAUGUACUGUAUAUAGAGGUGCUUUCCUCCCUUUGGCUGGCAUUGUUUUGGUUUUUGUAUUUUGUGUGAAAUGUUUUUCGUGCCAUGAAAUGAUAGUAGUAAUAAAAUGUCAAAUCAAAAUUGUUUAA